AGUGAACGCUGGCGGUAGGCCUAACACAUGCAAGUCGAACGGCAGCACAGAGGAGCUUGCUCCUUGGGUGGCGAGUGGCGGACGGGUGAGGAAUACAUCGGAAUCUACUCUGUCGUGGGGGAUAACGUAGGGAAACUUACGCUAAUACCGCAUACGACCUACGGGUGAAAGCAGGGGACCUUCGGGCCUUGCGCGAUUGAAUGAGCCGAUGUCGGAUUAGCUAGUUGGCGGGGUAAGGGCCCACCAAGGCGACGAUCCGUAGCUGGUCUGAGAGGAUGAUCAGCCACACUGGAACGGGGACACGGUCCAGACUCCUACGGGAGGCAGCAGUGGGGAAUAUUGGACAAUGGGCGCAAGCCUGAUCCAGCCAUACCGCGUGGGUGAAGAAGGCCUUCGGGUUGUAAAGCCCUUUUGUUGGGAAAGAAAUCCAGCUGGCUAAUACCCGGUUGGGAUGACGGUACCCAAAGAAUAAGCACCGGCUAACUUCGUGCCAGCCGCCGCGGUAA
rnacentral:rRNA from 1 species